GUGAGUUUGAGAAUCUGAACAACAGCAACCAUGAGCUUCAUCACCAUCUUCAUCUGGAUCUUCACCAGCUACUGUUUCACAGAAUCAGCAGCUGGAGUGACAGUCACUCAGACGCCUGCAGAGAAACCUGUUCAACCAGGAGACAAAGUUACCAUGUCCUGUAAAACCAGUCCUGAAGUUUACCAGGGUUGGAGUGCUCAGCCUUUACACUGGUACUUACAGAAACCUGGAGAAGCUCCUAAACUCCUGAUUUAUGCUGCAAACCGUCUCCAGUCAGGAACUCCAUCUAGAUUCAGUGGCAGUGGAUCUAACAGUGAUUUCACUCUGACCAUCAGUGGAGUCCAGACUGAAGAUGCUGGACAUUAUUACUGUCAGAGUUACCACAGUGGUGGUGUGUUCACACAGUGAUAAAGCGUGGUACAAAAACCUGUGUCAGUCAGAGUCACAGUGACUGAACUGAUGCUGCAGCUGCUCAAAGGAGGAUCUGAAACUCUGUUGUUUUUGCUCUUUUUCCUCAUAUUCUGACUCUCUGUAGGGAGUUUUGAUUUGAUGCAUUGUGCGGAGUCAAUUAUUCCGCUUAUACUACGGUAACCACACCUCAAGACAUUGAUCUGAUGAUUCGUUUAAAGAGAUUUAUCCGGUUUUUGUACUUAAAUCGCUAUUGUGAGUAGGACACAU